rnacentral:rRNA from 2 species
GAUCUGAUGGGAGCUUGCUCCCUGAAGAUUAGCGGCGGACGGGUGAGUAACACGUGGGCAACCUGCCUGUAAGCUUGGGAUAACUUCGGGAAACCGGAGCUAAUACCGAAUAACUUCUUUCUUCACAUGAAGAAAGGUUGAAAGACGGUUAUGCUGUCACUUACAGAUGGGCCCGCGGCGCAUUAGCUAGUUGGUGAGGUAACGGCUCACCAAGGCGACGAUGCGUAGCCGACCUGAGAGGGUGAUCGGCCACACUGGGACUGAGACACGGCCCAGACUCCUACGGGAGGCAGCAGUAGGGAAUCUUCCGCAAUGGACGAAAGUCUGACGGAGCAACGCCGCGUGAGUGAAGAAGGUUUUCGGAUCGUAAAACUCUGUUAUCAGGGAAGAACAAGUACCAUUUAACUGAUGGUACCUUGACGGUACCUGACCAGAAAGCCACGGCUAACUACGUGCCAGCAGCCGCGGUAAUACGUAGGUGGCAAGCGUUGUCCGGAAUUAUUGGGCGUAAAGCGCGCGCAGGCGGUUCUUUAAGUCUGAUGUGAAAUCUCGCGGCUCAACCGUGAGCGGUCAUUGGAAACUGGAGAACUUGAGUGCAGAAGAGAAGAGCGGAAUUCCACGUGUAGCGGUGAAAUGCGUAGAGAUGUGGAGGAACACCAGUGGCGAAGGCGGCUCUUUGGUCUGUAACUGACGCUGAGGCGCGAAAGCGUGGGGAGCGAACAGGAUUAGAUACCCUGGUAGUCCACGCCGUAAACGAUGAGUGCUAAGUGUUAGAGGGUUUCCGCCCUUUAGUGCUGCAGCAAACGCAUUAAGCACUCCGCCUGGGGAGUACGGCCGCAAGGCUGAAACUCAAAGGAAUUGACGGGGGCCCGCACAAGCGGUGGAGCAUGUGGUUUAAUUCGAAGCAACGCGAAGAACCUUACCAGGUCUUGACAUCCUUAUGACCUCCCUAGAAGAUAGGGAUUUCCCU